rnacentral:rRNA from 1 species
CCUACGGGAGGCAGCAGUAGGGAAUAUUGGUCAAUGGGGGAAAGCCUGAAGCAGCAAAGCAGCGUGGAGGAUGAAGGUUUUCGGAGUGGAAACUCCUUUUGUUAGAGAAGAAAAUGACGGUAUCUAACGAAUAAGCACCGGCUAACUGCGUGCCAGCAGCCGCGGUAAUACGGAGGGUGCAAGCGUUACUCGGAAUUACUGGGCGUAAAGAGCGCGUAGGCGGGAUAGCAAGUCAGCUGUGAAAUCCUAUGGCUUAACCAUAGAACUGCAUUUGAAACUGUUAUUCUAGAGUAUGGGAGAGGUAGGUGGAAGUCUUGGUGUAGGGGUGAAAUCCUUAGAGAUCAAGAAGAAUACUCAUUGCGAAGGCGGCCUGCUAGAACAUAACUGACGCUGAUGCGCGAAAGCGUGGGGAGCAAACAGGAUUAGAUACCCGAGUAGUC